AUAGUUUCUCUUUGUACUAAAGGCUUCAGUGAUGGCUUCUCACACGACGGUGUCAAUUAAUUUACUAAUUCCACGGUGGUGCUUUUUUCUCUCCAGAACAUAAUCCUUGCAGUACUGGUUUAUGCAUCGGAAUUUAAUUUGUUUGCGUUUCUGCUCUGUAGAUUUCCUUUGUAGAAGUCUUGUUUGGCCUCAUUUCUGUAUGGGGGGGGGGGACCGUUCAUCGCAUAAAGUCCGAAUCAAAAGUGAAAAUAGUCCAACGUCUCCCGCGCGCAGGAAUCCGCCGCAGCCCUUCCCAGUUGCGCCGAGUCCCUUCAGGGUUCCUCCGACUUCAAAGAAAUGCGCUCAGCUCUGCUCAAGAGGCCCCACCGCGGUCCCGAGCUCCUCAACCGCGGCUGAAGCGCCCCUCCCGACGGAAGCCAUGGAGAGGCGCCACUUUGCGCGUCCAAUGCCCACAUGUUUAUUUGGGGAGCUUAAUCCCAAGAGCGCUCAAAGCUUGAAAAGCAAGCGGGAGCAAUUGGCGGCUCUCUUUCCUGCCUCUGGUUCGGCUGAUUGAGUCGUGGUAGCGGAGGAGCUGCUGCCCCUGGCUCAAGAAGACAAAAGAGGUUGAAGGAGUGAAUUGGCACAUAACUUGACUUCCACUUGGCAAAUUCAUAUGUGGAAAUGAAGCUGCAGUAAACGGCCCCAGAGGAGCAGAAGAUCGCAUUUCAAGUCACUUGGAUGGGAGAGAACAGAGAUUGAUUUAAUCUGUCAAUCAGAAAGCAAGCAACGAAACAAUUAAAAGGCUAAAUACCUGGAAUAGUGGACCUAUAUCUACAUCAAAACCAAGGUCAGCAAAUCCUGUAGCAAUUACUUUGGCUCCUCUGUCAUGGCCAUCCUGGCCCAUUUUAGCAACCAGAAGACGUGGUCUACGACCUUCCCGUUCCAGAAAUUUGUCAACUCUAAAAAAAUUAAUAGCAGACAAGAGUAUAAGACACACCAGAAUAUAAGACGCACCUUAGUUCUUGGUGAGGAAAAAUAAGAAAAAAAGUUGAUUGGCAGUGGAUUGGCCUCCCGGAAUACCCCCAAUCAGCUGUUCCCAGAGGUGAAUUUUAGCAACAGGUUGGUUGGUUGUGAGCUCUGUGCCUUGCUUUUUUUCCUGCCUCUGAAAGCCUUCAAAACAGAGCUUCAGAAAAAAGCCUCUGAAUCUCUGGGGGCUUCUUUUCUGAAGUUUCUUUUCUGAUGCUUUUUUCAGCCACUGAAACCUCAGUUUGAGAAGCUGGGUGGAGCUAUAUUCGGAGUUUAAGAUGCAUUCAGGUUUUCAAUCUCUUUUUUUUUGGAGGGGGGGGGAUGCAUAUUAUACUCCAAAAAAUACAGUAAUCCAUAAACCUGUCUUCUAUUUGGCCUAAAGCCAGUUGGAGUGACUUGAGCUCAGUUGCACUCCUUUUCAGUCCUAGGAAGAAAAUGGCAAACUACUUCUGAAACUGUUUCCAAGAAAACUGCGUGGAUUUGUACAAAGCCAUCCGCUGACUCAUCAAUGAAAAAGUAAAAUUUAUUGCUAGCUAAUCAGAAGUUUGGCAGCGGAUGUGUGUGUUAUUUUGUUGGGUGAAUAGGAAUCUACAGAGCUGUUAAAGUGGAAAUAUAUCAAUAUAAACAAGCAAGCUAAUAUUUGUUUCUGAGCUCAUAUAAAAGAUUACAAGCGAGAUUGGACAAAAUGUACCCAAAUUUAUCCCCCAAAUGCUGGAGAUGCAACCACAAAUUUGGAACAUUCUAUCACAUGUGGUGGACGUGCCCCAUCACAAGGAAAUAUUGGUGCAAAAUUCAAAAAUGGCUGAAGAAAUUACAGAGCAAAAAAUAGAUUUGAAACUGGACCUAAUUUUAUUAGGAAUACUGGACCCGAAAAUGAAUAAAAAACUCCAAUACUUCACAUUACACAUAUUCACUGCAGCAAGAAUCAUAUUCACACAAAAUUGGAAACAAAAUAAUGUACCCUCAGACAAAAUAGUAAUCAGGAAAAUUCUUGAAUGUGCAGAAAUGGAUAAAAUGUCUAUGGAGCUAAAAGAGAGGGAUGAUUCGGACUAUUAUGAAGUAUGGAAUAAAAUGUACAGUUGGCUCAAAAAUAGAAACCAAACAAGGAAUAUUUAGCUUAGGACUUGAUAAAACCAAAAUUGGAAUAAUUGAACAACAUUAAAUAAAGGGAUGUAAAUAUAAAUGAAUAUAAAUCGGUAGAGAAGAAUAAUGAAUACUACUAUAUGUGUUAAUAUAUACGUUGAUGUAAUGUUAUACUACCAUUGAGAAGUAAAUAGAUAUGAUAAAGAACCACAAAAGCAAAAUACAUAUGCCGAUACAGAAAGCUGUAAAAUGACCUUAGAUAGUAUGUAUUGUUUGUUGUGUUUUGUUUUGUUUUAAUGUAUUUGUGGUUGCUUUUUAUGUUGUUUUUAAAGACAAAACUGUUUAAAAAUUAUUUUAAAAAAAGAUUACAAGCAUCUUCUUAUUCCCCAUUCUCUAUAAUAAACAAACUGACCUUUAAAGCGGCUUCAUACACAUCAUUGGUAAGAGAUUCCAUUAGAAAUGAACCACCCCACGGAUCAGCAACUUUAGCCAUUAUGCUGCAGAUUCCAGGAAACUAACUUCCCCACCUCUUCCUGUCCUCAGCUGAUCCCAGAAUCUUCCCCCAAAUUCAGCACUGGUACUUGGGUGUAUGAAUUGGAUGUACCUCUACUUAAGUUCUAAAGAAAAGAACCUUCAGGAAAGCAACGUUGAGUACCCUGUUUCCCCCAAAAUAAGACAUCCCCUGAUAAUAAGCCCAAUCAGGCUUUUGAGCGCAUGGCAAUAAGGCCAAGCACUUAUUUCAGGGUUCAAAAAAAUAUAAGACUGGGUCUUAUUUUCAGGGAAACACGAUAUAUACUAUAUUUACUUCUUUAAAAUCUGCAUGUCAUCAUAAUGAUAUUCUGAU